rnacentral:rRNA from 1 species
UACAGAGGUCCCAAGCGUUGUUCGGAUUCAUUGGGCGUAAAGGGUGCGUAGGCGGCGCGGUAAGUCGGGUGUGAAAUCUCGGGGCUUAACUCCGAAACUGCAUUCGAUACUGCCGUGCUUGAGGACUGGAGAGGAGACUGGAAUUUACGGUGUAGCGGUGAAAUGCGUAGAUAUCGAUAAGGAAGACCAGUGGCGAAGGCGGGUCGUCCGGACAGUUCCUGACGCUGAGGCACGAAGGCCAGGGAGCAAACGGGGAUUAGAAA